rnacentral:rRNA from 1 species
CCUACGGGGGGCUGCAGCAGGGAAUCUUGGGCAAUGGGCGAAAGCCUGACCCAGCGACGCCGCGUGGAGGAAGAAGUCCUUCGGGGCGUAAACUCCUGGACUGGGGGACGAGGAAGGACGGUACCCCAGUAGAAAGGGACGGCUAACUACGUGCCAGCAGCCGCGGUAAAACGUAGGUCCCGAGCGUUGUUCGGAUUCACUGGGUGUAAAGGGCGCGUAGGUGGUUGUCUGUGUCUCAUGUGAAAACUCAGGGCUCAACUCUGAGAUUGCGUGGGAAACUAGGCAGCUAGAGGACGGUAGAGGGGAGUGGAAUUCCCGGUGUAGCGGUAAAAUGCGUAGAUAUCGGGAGGAACACCGGUGGCGAAGGCGGCUCUCUGGGCCGAUCCUGACGCUGAGGCGCGAAAGCUAGGGGAGCGAACCGGCUUAGAUACCCCAGUAGUC